rnacentral:rRNA from 1 species
UACGGAGGAUGCGAGCGUUAUCCGGAUUUAUUGGGUUUAAAGGGUGCGUAGGCGGAUUGUCAAGUCAGCGGUAAAAUUGAGAGGCUCAACCUCUUCCCGCCGUUGAAACUGGUGGUCUUGAGUGGAUGAGAAGUACGCGGAAUGCGUGGUGUAGCGGUGAAAUGCAUAGAUAUCACGCAGAACUCCGAUUGCGAAGGCAGCGUACCGGCAUCCAACUGACGCUGAGGCACGAAAGCGUAGGGAUCAAACAGG